CAGGAAUGCGUUCUCAACACAGCGAUUUCCUGAAUACCCAAGAGACUCAGGCAGUAAAAGGCUGAAGGCCAGACAACAAGGCACUGGAUCUAGGACAGGGGAAAAUGGCUGCUCCGUUUUCGAGAUCCGUCUGGGCAGCUGACUUUGCAGAUGGGAUCUACUGGUUGCAUUUCUAAGCUUGAGAGAUCAUCUUCUCUUUACCUUGAAGAUGCAAUGGAAAUGAUGCCUGGAUGACAGUGGUGGGACCAAUCUCCAACACUCGGCUGGAUACCUCUUCUACCAAAUCAGGUCUGGAAACAGACACUUGAGCAAGAGGUGUUGGAACCAGUGUUUAAAUUGUGAAAGAUCAUUGCUUCAAGAUGCUGGGACGGCUCUGACAACGAAGAAGGAAAGACAUCAUGGAAGAUUUUUUUUCUCCACAGAAGAAAAGAACACUGACAGCAAGAAAAAUAUCUGUGUGUUCUCUAAAAUCUACCUUGUUCUUUACCCUGGAGAAGUCCUGUUGUGGUUCCACACCCUUCUGUCAAGCAGGUCCCUGAGGGGAUGCCACCCUUCUGCUGUCACCUAUAAUCCACGAGUGAUCCUCCGAAUCAUCCUUUGUGGUGACCGCCACACACAUGCAGUUUACCCAGAGAGAGACACAGCAUCUCUACAGAAUGGAGCAGAGAGAGUGGGAAACGGCAGAGAGAGAGAGAAAAGACGAGGCAUAGCCACCAAGUGGUUGAGUCCCCAGGGGGCGAUGGGCAGCGGAAUGAAUGAGUGGUUAAAACUGACAAAGCAAUAAAAGCCUGGAUUCUUGUCCACCUUUUCCUCCAAUUGUUCCAGUGAGCAGUUGCCCCCAAGAUCACUCAAUGUCUGUCCAGAAAUUCUCUUCCAUUGAGCCCG
rnacentral:lncRNA from 1 species